rnacentral:rRNA from 1 species
CAGUCGCCGCGGUAAUGCAGAGGAUUUAAGCGUUAUCCGGAAUGAUUGGGCGUAAAGCGUCUGUAGGCGGAUACUUAAGUCAGGGGUGAAAUCCCGGGGCUCAACCUCGGAACUGCCUUUGAUACUGGGUAUCUUGAGUCCGGGAGAGGUUGGUGGAACUCCGAGUGUAGAGGUGAAAUUCGUAGAUAUUCGGAAGAACACCAGUGGCGAAGGCGGCCAACUGGCCCGGUACUGACGCUGAGGUGCGAAAGCGUGGGGAGCAAACAGGAUUAGAUACCCCAGUAGUCCCUGUCUCUUAUAC